GGGGGGGGGCAAGCGUUGUUCGGAAUUACUGGGCGUAAAGGGCGCGCAGGCGGGCGGGAAAGUCUCUCGUGAAAUCCCACGGGCUCAACCGUGGAAUUGCGGGAGAUACUACUCGUCUUGAGUUCGGGAGAGGAGUGUGGAAUUCCCAGUGUAGCGGUGAAAUGCGUAGAUAUUGGGAGGAACACCGGUGGCGAAGGCGGCACUCUGGACCGAUACUGACGCUGAGGCGCGAAAGCUAGGGGAGCAAACGGGAUUAGAUACCCCGGUAGUCCUAGCUGUAAACGCUGAGCACUUGGUGUAGCGGGUAUCGACCCCUGCUGUGCCGAAGCUAACGCAUUAAGUGCUCCGCCUGGGGAGUACGGUCGCAAAGGCUG
rnacentral:rRNA from 1 species